CACUCCUGCGGGAGGCAGCAGUGGGGAAUAUUGGACAAUGGGCGCAAGCCUGAUCCAGCCAUGCCGCGUGAGUGAUGAAGGCCCUAGGGUUGUAAAGCUCUUUCACCGGUGAAGAUAAUGACGGUAACCGGAGAAGAAGCCCCGGCUAACUUCGUGCCAGCAGCCGCGGUAAUACGAAGGGGGCUAGCGUUGUUCGGAUUUACUGGGCGUAAAGCGCACGUAGGCGGACUAUUAAGUCAGGGGUGAAAUCCCGGGGCUCAACCCCGGAACUGCCUUUGAUACUGGUAGUCUUGAGUUCGAGAGAGGUGAGUGGAAUUCCGAGUGUAGAGGUGAAAUUCGUAGAUAUUCGGAGGAACACCAGUGGCGAAGGCGGCUCACUGGCUCGAUACUGACGCUGAGGUGCGAAAGCGUGGGGAGCAAACAGGAUUAGAAACCCGGGUAGUCCC
rnacentral:rRNA from 1 species